rnacentral:rRNA from 1 species
CUGGUUGAUCCUGCCAGUAGUCAUAUGCUUGUYUCAAAGAUUAAGCCAUGCAUGUCUAAGUAUAAAUCUGGUUCUAGAUGAAACUGCGAAUGGCUCAUUAAAUCAGUUCUAGUUUCUUUGAUGGUAUCUUAACUACAUGGAUAACCGUAGUAACAUAGAGCUAAUACAUGCUUGAAUUCCUGACUGGUUGCUUUCGAGCAUUCGGAAUAGGAUGUAUUUAUUAGAUCCAAAACCAAUGCGCUGCUUGUGUUGCUUCACUGUGGCAUGAGUGGCGGUUAGAUUGGUGAUUCAUGCUAACUUUUCGGAUCGCAUGGCCUUGUGCUGGCGACGCUUCAUACAAGUUUCUGCCCUAUCAACUGUCGAUGGUAGGGUAUUGGCCUACCAUGGUUGUAACGGGUGACGGAGAAUUAGGGUUCGAUUCCGGAGAGGGAGCCUGAGAAACGGCUACCACAUCUAUGGAUGGCAGCAGGCGCGCAAAUUACCCAAUCCCGACCUGGGGAGGUAGUGACAAUAAAUAACAAUGCGGUCCAUAUUUGGUUCUGCAAUUGGAAUGAGAACAAUGUAAAUACCUUAACGAGGAGCAAUUGGAGGGCAAGUCUGGUGCCAGCAGCCGCGGUAAUUCCAGCUCCAAUAGCGUAUAUUAAAGUUGUUGCAGUUAAAAAGCUCGUAGUUGGAUUUCGGAACGGUCGGGUUGGUCCGCCCUUCUGUGGUGUGUACUAGCUUUGGUAUGUAUGGUUGGUCCUUGUGUGGCUAACCUGCUGCCCGUGUUGCACGUGUGUGUAGCACGUGAUCGUUCUUCUCCCUCGGAGACGAGGUCUGUCCUUCAUUGGAUGGGCUUUGGAUGCGAGGUGUUUACUUUGAAAAAAUUAGAGUGUUCAAAGCAGGCCAUUUCUCGCUUGAAUACAUUAGCAUGGAAUAAUGGAAUAGGACUCUGUGUCUAUUUUGUUGGUUUGAAGGCAGAGAGUAAUGAUUAAUAGGGACAGUUGGGGGCAUUCGUAUUUAAUUGUCAGAGGUGAAAUUCUUGGAUUUCUGAAAGACGAACAACUGCGAAAGCAUUUGCCAAGGAUGUUUUCAUUAAUCAAGAACGAAAGUUAGGGGUUCGAAGACGAUCAGAUACCGUCGUAGUCCUAACCAUAAACAAUGCCGACUA